rnacentral:rRNA from 1 species
UACAGAGGUCCCAAGCGUUGUUCGGAUUCAUUGGGCGUAAAGGGUGUGUAGGUGGCGCCGUAAGUCGGGUGUGAAAUUUCGGAGCUUAACUCCGAAACUGCAUUCGAUACUGCGGUGCUUGAGGACUGGAGAGGAGACUGGAAUUCAUGGUGUAGCAGUGAAAUGCGUAGAGAUCAUGAGGAAGACCAGUGGCGAAGGCGGGUCUCUGGACAGUUCCUGACACUGAGACACGAAGGCCAGGGGAGC